GCCGCGCCGUGAGGGCGGCGGCGCUGAGGGGUCGGGGAGGUUCGGUCAGAGGUGUCCCUGCUGCUCCUCUGGGAAGGGCGAAGGGGCAGCUGGUGUUUUCCUCCAGGCGAUUUAUUAUCUAAUUGUAGAAAAUGCGUAGGCCAUCUCAGCCACAAUCCAGGGAACAAAAGACCAUAUUAAAAAGAUGUUUUGGCAAUACAAGGUACGUCGGUUCUCCUUAAUAAAGAUGCUUUCUUAAAUAUAACAGGUUUGCUUGAUAGCAAAUGGAUCACGCAGCCACACCCUACUGAGAGAAUUCAUUUCUGCAGCCAUCCUAAAAAGUUUUACAAGGAGCAGCAAUUCUCAGAGAAAACAAUGUUUAAGGUGAUGCGAAUAAUUUACAAAAAUAAAGUGCUCUGUUCCAUAACCCUGGGUGUCUGUGGAUACAGAUCUGCUCAAACACUUCCCAGCCACAGCCAUGCAUUUGGAUAUUUAUGCUUCAGACAUUGACAAAGAAGGAGAAAACAUGAGAUGGAACAUAUCAGAAAUAUUAAUAAAGGAAGAGAACUUACUGAUGUGUUGCAAAACCUUUCCAAGCUUUGAUUAGGGAGAAGAUAGCGAUAUCCAAAGCUAACAAGUCAGAAGUAAGCUACAAAACCAAACCAGAAUCAUCGAGAACUAAAUGCAAAGCACAUGACAUCCUUAUGGUAUCACAU